GUGGGGAAUAUUGGACAAUGGGGGCAACCCUGAUCCAGCAAUACCGCGUGUGUGAAGAAGGCCUGAGGGUUGUAAAGCACUUUCAGUGGGGAGGAGGAUACUUAGGUUAAGAGCCAGAGUAUUGGACGUUACCCACAGAAGAAGCACCGGCUAACUCCGUGCCAGCAGCCGCGGUAAUACGGAGUGUGCAAGCGUUAAUCGGAAUUACUGGGCGUAAAGAGUGCGUAGGUGGUUUGGUAAGUUAUCUGUGAAAUCCCCGGGCUCAACCUGGGCAGGUCAGAUAAUACUGCUAGACUCGAGUAUGGGAGAGGGUAGUGGAAUUUCCGGUGUAGCGGUGAAAUGCGUAGAGAUCGGAAGGAACACCAGUGGCGAAGGCGGCUACCUGGCCCAAUACUGACACUGAGGCACGAAAGCGUGGGGAGCAAACAGGAUUAGAAACCCUAGUAGUCC
rnacentral:rRNA from 1 species